rnacentral:rRNA from 1 species
CUAAUACAUGCAAGUCGAGCGAGCGGAACCAACAGAUUUACUUCGGUAAUGACGUUGGGAAAGCGAGCGGCGGAUGGGUGAGUAACACGUGGGGAACCUGCCCCUAAGUCUGGGAUACCAUUUGGAAACAGGUGCUAAUACCGGAUAAUAAAGCAGAUCGCAUGAUCAGCUUUUGAAAGGCGGCGUAAGCUGUCGCUAAGGGAUGGCCCCGCGGUGCAUUAGCUAGUUGGUAAGGUAACGGCUUACCAAGGCGACGAUGCAUAGCCGAGUUGAGAGACUGAUCGGCCACAUUGGGACUGAGACACGGCCCAAACUCCUACGGGAGGCAGCAGUAGGGAAUCUUCCACAAUGGACGCAAGUCUGAUGGAGCAACGCCGCGUGAGUGAAGAAGGUUUUCGGAUCGUAAAGCUCUGUUGUUGGUGAAGAAGGAUAGAGGUAGUAACUGGCCUUUAUUUGACGGUAAUCAACCAGAAAGUCACGGCUAACUACGUGCCAGCAGCCGCGGUAAUACGUAGGUGGCAAGCGUUGUCCGGAUUUAUUGGGCGUAAAGCGAGCGCAGGCGGAAAAAUAAGUCUAAUGUGAAAGCCCUCGGCUUAACCGAGGAACUGCAUCGGAAACUGUUUUUCUUGAGUGCAGAAGAGGAGAGUGGACUCCAUGUGUAGCGGUGGAUGCGUAGAUAUAUGGAAGA